AACAGAAUACAUUUCCUCCAAGCUAUCCGGGAAGGUAUUCCCGUCAUCAAGUCAUUAUCGUCUAGCCUUAUUAAAACCGGUGCCACAAUCGCCUCCAUGCUAUUAUUGGGGAGAAUGGGGACCCUUCCUUGUGCUCCGUGCAUCCCCUCGAUGUUUUGAGGCGGCGUUUAUUUGGCAUUCAUUCCUUCUGAUCCAUCGUUGUCCAUCAUAUCACUGGUGACUUGGUGGCGUCAGAAGAAUUCCUUGUCGAUUCGUCGGGGACUCGGGGUGUUGCGGGCCUAUCGAUUACUCUAUAUUCCCAUGUGGCGGCAUUCGACGCCUCGUAGUGGGAUCGUGGAACGAGAAAAAUGAUACGAACAC
rnacentral:sRNA from 2 species